rnacentral:rRNA from 1 species
GCAAGUCGAACGAGAAUCUGUGGAUCGAGGAUUCGUCCAAGUGAAGCAGAGGACAGUGGCGGACGGGUGAGUAACGCGUGAGGAACCUGCCUUUCAGAGGGGGACAACAGUUGGAAACGACUGCUAAUACCGCAUGAUACAUUUGGGUGGCAUCAUCUGAAUGUCAAAGAUUUAUCGCUGAAAGAUGGCCUCGCGUCUGAUUAGCUAGUUGGUGAGGUAACGGCCCACCAAGGCGACGAUCAGUAGCCGGACUGAGAGGUUGACCGGCCACAUUGGGACUGAGAUACGGCCCAGACUCCUACGGGAGGCAGCAGUGGGGAAUAUUGGGCAAUGGGCGCAAGCCUGACCCAGCAACGCCGCGUGAAGGAAGAAGGCUUUCGGGUCGUAAACUUCUUUUAAGAGGGAAGAGCAGAAGACUGUACCUCUAGAAUAAGCCACGGCUAACUACGUGCCAGCAGCCGCGGUAAUACGUAGGUGGCAAGCGUUGUCCGGAUUUACUGGGUGUAAGGGGCGUGCAGCCGGGAAUGCAAGUCAGAUGUGAAAUCCAUGGGCUUAACCCAUGAACUGCAUUUGAAACUGUAUUUCUUGGGUACUGGAGAGGCAAUCGGAAUUCCUAGUGUAGCGGUGAAAUGCGUAGAUAUUAGGAGGAACACCAGUGGCGAAGGCGGAUUGCUGGACAGCAACUGACGGUGAGGCGCGAAAGUGUGGGGAGCAAACAGGAUUAGAUACCCUGGUAGUCCACACUGUAAACGAUGAAUACUAGGUGUGCGGGGACUGACCCCCUGCGUGCCGCAGUUAACACAAUAAGUAUUCCACCUGGGGAGUACGAUCGCAAGGUUGCAACUCAAAUGAAUUGACGGA